rnacentral:lncRNA from 1 species
CAGAAACUUCCCGCCAAAUAGCUUGAAGGCACGCAAGACCCAGCGGGCAGGGGAUUUCCGGACAGCACGAACGCGCAUGUCCGGACAGGCCCCAGCCGGUCCAUCUUCGCCUUACUCGUCUGGACGCCAUUUAGGAUGGGUCCGGGGCCUGAACGGCUUCCUCCUCGCUCUCAGCCGUCCCGGCAGUGUCCGCUAGCACGGAGAACAGGAGAAGCCGUCCACAAGUUAAACUCCGGCCACGGGCCCGAAAGGACCGUCCGAAUUCCCUACAACCCUGACGCCCAAGGCCACACUUCCCGUCGGCCCUGGCGCUCCCGCCCCGGGACGGCCGCGCUCCAACAGCCGGAGCCUCCGGCUGCCUGCCGUUGCUCCGGCUUCGGGGCCGGGCCUUCUGGAGGCGCGCUCCCGCCUCGCGAGGUGAAUCUCAAGAGGCUGAGUGUGUAAAUGGGGAGAACUCAUAAGAUAGAAAAACACGAAGGAGUUUCCCGUGCAUGAAUGGGAAGCUGUUCACGAGCCGCCUCUGAAAGAAUUUCAUCUUCUGCUGCGUUAUCCAGCUCCUAGGGUCUAGACCACCUUGGGCCCUGAUAUUUGUGAAGUCUCCAAAGACAAACGCUUGAAGCUUUCUCCUCUUUCCUCGUGAUUUCCUUAGGGGAAAAUUCCUAAAAGUUUGGCCACAGGCGUGGAUCUAAGUUUUCCAGCUGCCAAAAUGGAAAGAGGGAAAGGUGAUCCCCGGCAGCAGUCACAGUAGCCCUGAGAUGGAACCUGACUAACUGCACAGAAGGAGCAACCAUGCUUUUCCCUGAGGUGAGCCUCUCCCAGGAGUUAUCCGAGGGAGGUUAGAGUGUGGCCAGGGAACUUCCUCUUCACCGUUGUCCUAACACCAGCUACGACGUAGAUCUUCCUGGAGAUGUUAUCUGCCACAUCCUCUGUGUGAGCACAGUUAAGCAAAAGAAAUUUCUUUCCUGACCCUCACCACCACCACCACCACCACCACAUGGUUUGUGAGGACUGUUCACGUAUUUAUGGGUGUCUCAGUGUGUUUUCUUUGUGGGUCUGUCUUGCUGUGUGGUGUGCUAUUUACUGUCUGUUCUUGUCCCUUAGGCUUAACACCCUCUGUGUGUUAUAGGUGUUGGAAACGUUUUACUUUGUCUAGGGAUUUCUUCGAUGACGGUACAACCCUAAGGGGAAAUUGAGAGAAAUAUAAUUGUGUGGGGGACAUGGACGUCUCCCUCUCAUUCUUCAACGAAUCCAAAGAAAAACCAGAGAAAAGAUGGAGGAUGUUGGUAACAGAUCUUUAUUCAUUCAACAAACAUUCAGUGAGCACCUACUACGUGCCAGUCACCUUUGGGAUAAAUUAGGGAACAACCGAGCACACAUACUAGACAACAACAAAAACCCUGGCUUUGAGGAGCUUGCCUUCUAGUGGGCAGAGACAAGCAAACAAUUAUAAUAAGGAAAUAAAUUACAUAACGUGUUGACAGAACAACGUGCAUUCAAGACAGAACAGAAGAAGACCGGGUAAAUGGGAAGUGUGUGUGUGUGUGUGUGUGUGUGUGUGUGUGUGUGAGUGAGUGAAGGGGGUGAGGUGGUGACACUUGAAAUAAUAAGUGUAGGAGCGAGCCAUAUUGAAAGGUGACAUUUAUUCGAAGUCAUGAAAGAGAUGACGGAGGUAGCCAUGCAGACAUCUGGGGAAAGAAUGCUCCAGGCUGAAAGAACAGAAGGUGCCAAAGCCCUCACUUUGGGAGCAGGAAGGAGGUCACCGUAGGCAAAGGGGAGUGAGAAAGGAGGAGGGUCCUAGGAGAUCAGGGAAGAGAGGGAACUAGUGGCCACGUCACAGAUGGCCUUGUCGGCGAUCACAAGGACUCCUAGUUUACCCUGAAGAGCAACGAACGCUGUUGGUUUGGAGCAGAGGCAUCACGUGAUCCGAUUGUAGGUUUCGGUGGCAUUAUUCUGGCUGCCGGAUUGAUUAUCAGCGGGCCGGUUUGGUGCGGCUGCUGGGGAGAGUGAAGCAGGGAACCAAGUCAGGAAACAAUUCCAAUCAUGUAGGGCAAAGACUGAUGGUGGCUUGGAACAGGAUGGGAGCAGUGGAGGUGGUGGGAAGUGGCCAGAUUCUGGACAUAUUUGGUCAAAAGAGCUCCCAGGACUGCCUGACAGGUUGAAAAUGAGAGGGGAGUCACAGAGCCGGGUGAAGGAUGCCCCUCCAGUCUGUGGCACAAACAGCUGGAAGGACAGAGUUGCCAUUCCCCUGCGGUGGGAAAUAGUGCCGGUGAAGGGGGUUUGUAGGGGCGCAUGGGGGAUUUCAGCCUUGGGCUUGUUCAUUCGGGCUGACUCUCAGGCAGUUUUCUCGGCGAAUGAGAAAGGGAGGUCAUCCGCUAAGAGUGAGGAUGGGAGAGGCAGUGUUGGAGGCUGCAAGAGAGAAAAUAAGUGUUGAAACGGAAGGGUGGGCAGCCGUGGGGGCAUGAGAGAAAUGAGUCGUUUGAGGAUUUGGACUAAGAAUCUGGUGGAAAGCUGUU